rnacentral:rRNA from 1 species
UGGGGAAUAUUGGGCAAUGGGCGCAAGCCUGUCCCAGCAACGCCGCGUGAGGGAAGAAGGCUUUCGGGUUGUAAACCUCUGUCCUUGGUGACGAAAAAAAUGACGGUAGCCAAGGAGGAAGCCCCGGCUAACUACGUGCCAGCAGCCGCGGUAAUACGUAGGGGGCGAGCGUUGUCCGGAAUUACUGGGCGUAAAGGGUGCGUAGGCGGCCUAUUAAGUUGGAUGUGAAAUACCCGGGCUCAACUUGGGGGGUGCAUCCGAUACUGGCAGGCUAGAGUGCAGGAGAGGGAAGCGGAAUUCCUAGUGUAGCGGUGAAAUGCGUAGAUAUUAGGAGGAACACCAGUGGCGAAGGCGGCUUUCUGGACUGUAACUGACGCUGAGGCACGAAAGCGUGGGGAGC